GAUGAACGCUGGCGGCGUGCCUAAUACAUGCAAGUAGAACGCUGAAGCUUGGUGCUUGCACCGAGCGGAUGAGUUGCGAACGGGUGAGUAACGCGUAGGUAACCUGCCUCUUAGCGGGGGAUAACUAUUGGAAACGAUAGCUAAUACCGCAUAAAAGACGAUAUCGCAUGAUAUUGAUUUGAAAGGUGCAAUUGCAUCACUAAGAGAUGGACCUGCGUUGUAUUAGCUAGUUGGUGAGGUAACGGCUCACCAAGGCGACGAUACAUAGCCGACCUGAGAGGGUGAUCGGCCACACUGGGACUGAGACACGGCCCAAACUCCUACGGGAGGCAGCAGUGGGGAAUAUUGGACAAUGGGGGGAACCCUGAUCCAGCGACGCCGCGUGAGUGAAGAAGUAUUUCGGUAUGUAAAGCUCUAUCAGCAGGGAAGAAAAUGACGGUACCUGACUAAGAAGCCCCGGCUAACUACGUGCCAGCAGCCGCGGUAAUACGUAGGGGGCAAGCGUUAUCCGGAUUUACUGGGUGUAAAGGGAGCGCAGACGGCUUGGCAAGUCUGAAGUGAAAGCCCGGGGCUUAACCCCGGGACUGCUUUGGAAACUGUGAAGCUAGAGUGUCGGAGAGGUAAGUGGAAUUCCCAGUGUAGCGGUGAAAUGCGUAGAUAUUGGGAGGAACACCGGUGGCGAAGGCGGCUUACUGGACGAUAACUGACGUUGAGGCUCGAAGGCGUGGGGAGCAAACAGG
rnacentral:rRNA from 1 species